UACGAAGGGGGCUAGCGUUGCUCGGAAUUACUGGGCGUAAAGCGCACGUAGGCGGCUCUUUAAGUCGGGGGUGAAAUCCCGAGGCUCAACCUCGGAACUGCCUUUGAUACUGGUGAUCUUGAGUUCGGGAGAGGAUGGUGGAAUUCCCAGUGUAGAGGUGAAAUUCGUAGAUAUUGGGAAGAACACCGAUGGCGAAGGCAGCCAUCUGGACCGACACUGACGCUGAGGCGCGAAAGCGUGGGAGCAACAGG
rnacentral:rRNA from 1 species